GGAGAGGUGGCUGAGUGGUUGAAAGCGCACGACUCGAAAUCGUGUUUACGUUAGUAGCGUAACGAGGGUUCGAAUCCCUCCCUCUCCGCCA
rnacentral:tRNA from 1 species